GAGAAGGACCUCUAAGGCGGUUACAAACCAAUUUGUCGGGAAUUUCACUCUACUCCAGGUGUGGGCUUAUGAAAAUUUCCCAACAUUGUUUAAGGGAAACUCCUUCUUGAAUAUUAUACCCAUUGAUGACCUCGAGGAGCCUAGAGCCAAGAGAUACCAGUUCAACACCCAUCCGAAGCCCGGUAACAAUCGUCGACUGAUAGCUAUGAGAUUGGCUCUGGACGCGAUGACUACCAAAGAUGUUGUGUGUGACCCUUACAGGGAGGCUAGAGAAAACCACCAAUAUUUGAGGUACUAUAACGUUGCAUUUUACAAUGGGCCUUUGUUCCCCCCUAAGGGAUACGUUAUGGCUGACCCUCGACGUGUGAUUCGACAACUUGGAUAUAAGAAAUUACCUUGCUUCAUGACAUCCUCUCAUGAAAGGUAUGUGCUUGACCUUACUGUGUCUAUGUCAAGUUCCACAAGGUUGAGGGUAGAGUAUGAUCCAAUUCCAGAACCAACACAUUGAAGGGAUAGGGAACCACGUCGUUUGGUAGAUGCUACUAAUUGGGAGCUUGUGAACAACGGUGAUGAAGCCGAUCCCGCCUACAUUGAUAAUUACUUGGAAUUCACAUCCAUUUGUCGUGCGCCCGGACGACGUCGAAGUUCCACCCCAAAAAAACCCUCCUGUUCCAACUCCUACUGAGGCACCGCCUACGAUGGCCAAACUUCAUAAGACCGUUGGAUUGCUACGGCGUCGGAUUGGCAAGUUGAAGAAGAUGUUAGGUUGCAAGUACGACGAAGGAGAGGGGCUAUCCAAUGAAGAAGUGAAAGAAGUCGUGGAGAAGCUUGAUAAAAUUGAAGAACCAGAUGCAAGAGCUUUGUUUGGGGAAACGAGGAAGGCUCCCGUUGCCAAGAAGCAAAAGACCAAGUGAUGAACUCUAUAGUUGUGUUUUGUUAUGUGGAUGGUGGUUGUUAUGUUUUGAACAAUUUCUAACUUGUUUUCGGUUGAACUCUUUAGUUGUUUGGUUUACUUUUGGUUUAUGAUACCGUGAUGAAGAACAUUUAAUCACGAUUCAGUUGUUUGGUUUAUGUUGAACAUGUUUAGAUUUCUAGUGAAACGUUUUCUUUGC